AGUCACUGUCAUGACUGGGUUAGAACCCAAGGCUCCUCAUCCCUAGCCCAGUGACAAGUCAUCAGAGCUGUGGACGCUGGCCCUCACUAGGUCUGACACAUCCUUCCAUGAUGCCAGUUGUCAAGGAAAUGACCUCCGUCAGGACCCUCCUGUGGUACUGCUGGACUGUCGUUAUCGGAGAGGAGGUGACCCCUGUGAAAGGAUCAGUUGACCCCUUUGGGGGGGUCACACGACCCACAGUUUGAAAACCACUGCUCUACCAGAAUCAGUCCUUCCUCCAGCCUCUGACUGACUCUCAGCUCUCUACUCGUCACCCAGUCAUAGAGCACACAUCUCGUACCGCACAGCCUCAGUCUGGGGAGUGAAGGAGCCAAUCCUGGCUUUCGUGGGAUUCUCGGGGCAGCGGAAGACCGAGACAACUGAACCCACAGUCACAGUGCAGAGAUGUGCUAUCAGAAGGGCUUUGCUGAGAGGAGAAGGUGGCUGUGACUGGAACGGCAGCCCUGUAAGGAUGCUGUGAGAGACCCUCCCGGAGGCUCCACUGCGUUGUGGGACACGGAAGUUUCCAUGGGAAGUACCGAUCUCGCCCCGCCCACUUGGUUUCACGCUGCAUACUGUGCUGAGGACGGAGCUGGCAUUUCAGCGUGAACACUAAGUGGUGACUCAGAACCAACAGAAGUGUGGACCGCUGUUUACUCAAAAGGAAGCCUCUGGUGUGACAAACGAGAGUGGGCUGCGACAUUGUGCAGGACUCAUGAGCCAAGAGGCUUGGAAAUAGCACAUACCACCGCGGCAGGUGAUUCAUCUCUCGUUCGAUCUUCUCAGGCAGGGCAUCAGACGCCAGCCUAGGCAGACCCAGAGCCGGCCAGGGGCAUGCUCAGUGCCUAAGUACUGUGGACAUCCUUAGAUUCCUAUGACACUGCCACUGACUUUGACGGUUCUGUGCGAGCAUAACACUUUCAGUCUAAUUAACCUUGUAGAACC